rnacentral:lncRNA from 1 species
AACACUCCGCAGGGUCCCGAGUAGGCAGUUGUGGUCCACAGGCCACUGGCAAACAGAGGCAGAGCCACAGAGGGGCUGCUCGUCCCCAAAUGUCUCUCCAGCCGCUCUGAAGCUGCUGCGGGCUGCUGUGCUGGUGAUGGCUGAGAUCAUGAGAUGAGCCCCGGGGGUCCCUGGGCAUCCCUGGGAGGUCCUGGUUUGUGUUGCUGUGGUGGUCUUAGUCAUUAAGAGAUGACACUUUAUAAAGAGGAAAAGAGCUUAGUAAAAGUGUUGUUCUCACCAGCAGGUCCAUGGAGAAGGUGGAACACUGGACUAAAGAGACAGGCUGAGGAAGCCCUCAAGUCACCCCUGAUGGAGGCCAGACCUUGAAUGUUACAAUCCCUCUGCUUAUCGACCCUUAAUAAAAAUCUGAGCAGGUCUUCUCUGCAGGACACAGGAGGCUUUCUGGAAAAAAAAACAUGGAAAAAAAGUCCGGAAGUGCUCGACCAAGAGAUCGCGAGAUGGGAGCAGAGAGUACAGGAAAGGAAGGAGGAGAAAGAAAGGCUGGAAACCUUUGAAUGCACAAAAAAAACAGGUCAUGAAAGAUACCACGAGCCAACUAAAAUCUCUGGCUGAAAAU